rnacentral:piRNA from 1 species
UGAGAAAGCCCUUGGAUACCCAGCUCAAUC